GAAAGCCUGAUGCAGCGACGCCGCGUGAGGGAUGACGGCCUUCGGGUUGUAAACCUCUUUCGAGCAGGGAAGAAGCGAGAGUGACGGUACCUGCAGAAGAAGCGCCGGCUAACUACGUGCCAGCAGCCGCGGUAAUACGUAGGGCGCAAGCGUUGUCCGGAAUUACUGGGCGUAAAGGGCUCGUAGGUGGUUUGUCGCGUCGUUUGUGUAAGCCCGCAGCUUAACUGCGGGACUGCAGGCGAUACGGGCAUAACUUGAGUGCUGUAGGGGAGACUGGAAUUCCUGGUGUAGCGGUGAAAUGCGCANNNNNNNNNNNNGUAACUGACGCUGAGGAGCGAAAGCAUGGGGAGCGAACAGGAUUAGAUACCCUGGUAGUCCAUGCCGUAAACGUUGGGCACUAGGUGUGGGGACCAUUCCACGGUUUCCGUGCCGCAGCUAACGCAUUAAGCGCCCCGCCUGGGGAGGUACGGCCGCAAGGCUAAAACUCAAAGGAAUUGACGGGGGCCCGCACAAGCGGCGGAGCAUGCGGAUUAAUUCGAUGCAACGCGAAGAACCUUACCAAGGCUUGACAUACACCGGAUCGGGCUAGAGAUAGUCUUUCCCUUUGUGGCUGGUGUACAGGUGGUGCAUGGUUGUCGUCAGCUCGUGUCGUGAGAUGUUGGGUUAAGUCCCGUAACGAGCGCAACCCUUGUCCUUAGUUACCAGCACGUGAUGGUGGGGACUCAUGGGAGACUGCCGGGG
rnacentral:rRNA from 1 species